AGUGGACCAGUGUCAACAUGACUGAGAAGACACAUGACCUGGUAGUAGACCAGUGUCAACAUGACUGAGAAGACACAUGACCUAGUAGUAGAUCAGUGUCAACCUGACUGAGAAGACACAUGACCUGGUAUGAAAGACAAAACAAAACAAGAUGGGAAAUAUUAUCGACAUUCCAUUACACUUUUCACUGGCUGUCCCUCAGGUUGUGGCAGGAGGACACAUUGUGGCUUUUCACCCAAUAAAUAUUUUUAUUUUUUCUUCAUUUUUUAUAGUUUCAAAUUCUUUGUAUUGAAUUAUAAUUUUGGGAAAAAAAUAUUCUCUUAGGUCUGAGUAUUUGUCACAGUGUAGUAGGAAAUGCAUCUCUGUCUCUACCUCUCCCCUGGAGCAGAGUGAGCACAGACUGUCCUCUCUGGGCAGCCAGGUUUGUCUGUGACGACCGGUCUCUAUAGCCAGACUGUCCUCUCUGGACAGCCAGGUUUGUCUGUGACGACCGGUCUCUAUAGCCAGACUGUCCUCUCUGGGCAGCUAGGUUUGUCUGUGAC
ensembl:lncRNA